rnacentral:misc_RNA from 1 species
GAUGAAGAACGCAGUGAAAUGCGAUAAGUAGUGUGAAUUGCAGAAUUCAGUGAAUCAUCGAAUCUUUGAACGCACAUUGCGCCCGCCAGUAUUCUGGCGGGCAUGCCUGUUCGAGCGUCAUUUCAACCAUCAAGCCCCCGGCUUGUGUUGGGGACCUGCGGCUGCCGCAGGCCCUGAAAAGCAGUGGCGGGCUCGCUGUCACACCGAGCGUAGUAGCAUACAUCUCGCUCUGGGCGUGCUGCGGGUUCCGGCCGUUAAACCACCUUCAUAACCCAAGGUUGACCUCGGAUCAGGUAGGAAGACCCGCUGAACUUAAGCAUAUCAAUAAGCGGAGGA